rnacentral:rRNA from 1 species
GUAAUAUAUCGGAACGUGCCCAGUCGUGGGGGAUAACGUAGCGAAAGUUACGCUAAUACCGCAUACGAUCUAUGGAUGAAAGCGGGGGACCGUAAGGCCUCGCGCGAUUGGAGCGGCCGAUAUCAGAUUAGGUAGUUGGUGGGGUAAAGGCUCACCAAGCCAACGAUCUGUAGCUGGUCUGAGAGGACGACCAGCCACACUGGAACUGAGACACGGUCCAGACUCCUACGGGAGGCAGCAGUGGGGAAUUUUGGACAAUGGACGCAAGUCUGAUCCAGCCAUUCCGCGUGCAGGAUGAAGGCCCUCGGGUUGUAAACUGCUUUUGUACGGAACGAAAAGGUCUCUAUUAAUACUAGGGGCUCAUGACGGUACCGUAAGAAUAAGCACCGGCUAACUACGUGCCAGCAGCCGCGGUAAUACGUAGGGUGCAAGCGUUAAUCGGAAUUACUGGGCGUAAAGCGUGCGCAGGCGGUUAUGUAAGACAGAGGUGAAAUCCCCGGGCUCAACCUGGGAACUGCAUUUGUGACUGCAUGGCUAGAGUGCGGCAGAGGGGGAUGGAAUUCCGCGUGUAGCAGUGAAAUGCGUAGAUAUGCGGAGGAACACCGAUGGCGAAGGCAAUCCCCUGGGCCUGCACUGACGCUCAUGCA